GGCUAGAGUUUGAUCAUGGCUCAGGAUGAACGCUGGCGGCGUGCCUAACACAUGCAAGUCGAGCGAAGCACUUUACUUUGAGAUCUUCGGAAGGAUAAGUUUAGUGACUGAGCGGCGGACGGGUGAGUAACGCGUGGGUAACCUGCCUCAUACAAGGGGAUAACAGUUAGAAAUGACUGCUAUUACCGCAUAAGACCACAGCACCGCAUGGUGCAGGGGUAAAAACUCCGGUGGUAUGAGAUGGACCCGCGUCUGAUUAGCUAGUUGGUAAGGUAACGGCUUACCAAGGCAACGAUCAGUAGCCGACCUGAGAGGGUGACCGGCCACAUUGGGACUGAGACACGGCCCAAACUCCUACGGGAGGCAGCAGUGGGGAAUAUUGCACAAUGGGGGAAACCCUGAUGCAGCGACGCCGCGUGAGCGAAGAAGUAUUUCGGUAUGUAAAGCUCUAUCAGCAGGGAAGAAACUGACGGUACCUGACUAAGAAGCACCGGCUAAAUACGUGCCAGCAGCCGCGGUAAUACGUAUGGUGCAAGCGUUAUCCGGAUUUACUGGGUGUAAAGGGAGCGUAGACGGAUAGGCAAGUCUGGAGUGAAAGCCCGGGGCUCAACCCCGGGACUGCUUUGGAAACUGUUUAUCUAGAGUGCUGGAGAGGUAAGUG
rnacentral:rRNA from 1 species